UUAGUAUUUUAUUUAUUUAUUUUUUUCAGAAAUCAUGUUAAUAUUCGAGGGCUUUUUUAACUUCUUUCAUGGAAAUCUAAGGCUCAAGUCAAGGUCCGGUUGCUUGGCGGAAAAGUUUUUCUUUGGUUAUCGCCCCCCUUGACAAAUUGCAAAUGACACUUCAUCUUCGUCAUAGCAUGAGAAAGAGCUAUCAAGAGAAAAACGCUCAAGAGAGACAGACAUCCCAGGACGGAGAGUGAAGUAGACUUUGGAUGGGAAACAGUUUUUGGGUGUAAGAAAAAUAUAUUUUUUUAAAACGAAUCUCUCAAUCGAUUCUUAAAAAACAAAAAUUUAGCACAGUUCUGGAUUUGUGUGUGUUCUCUGUUUUUCAAGUUUUAAAUCUACAGGCAAUCUAAUUUCCAAAUGGCUCUAAACUGAAAGUAGAAAAGAAGCCUGCAGCCAAGAAGGCUCUUGCAGAGAAAAAGAAAAAGCUUCCUAAAGCUGCAUCCUUCGCCGACAUGAAGAAGAGAGCAAAGAAGAGUGUAGAGGGAGAAAUAAAAGGUUUAAAAUCGACAAGAAGGUUGCUUGGUGAGAAGAGGUGGUUAGAGGUUGAGUUGUUUGGCCAUCCUCUUUCUUCCUCUAUCGAAAGACCUCCUAGGUAACACGGAUGGCCAAACCACCAAACUCUUGUUCACAUUGUUUUCUUCACCUUCGCUUUCUUUUGUUUUGGUUUCCAAUUUUGACAUGUCUUCGGGAAUCGAGGUUGUCGAACAGGUUGACAAAUAUCUUUUAUUUCCAAGAAAAAAAAUUCUUGAACUCGGCCAAAAGUAACAGAACUGUACAGGAAGGUCAUCAAGGUCUCGGUUUACAUUUGGGUGAUAUAGUUUCCUGGAGACAUGCCGGGAAGUCAGAUUGGCCCGUGACACGGUUUAUGAAAGAUUAACAAGAAACAAGACUUCCAUCGAAAUCCAGAGUAAGAAACUAUAAGAUUUUUGAAUAA